rnacentral:lncRNA from 1 species
AGUUUGAUCUCAGACUGCUGUGCUAGCAAUCAGCGAGAUUCUGUGGGCGUAGGACCCUCCAAGCCAGGUGUGGGAUAUAGUCUCGUGGUGCACCGUUUUUUAAGCCGGUCUGAAAAGCGCAAUAUUCGGGUGGGAGUGACCCGCUUUUCCAGCAGUAGAAAACAGAUGAAUACACCUAGAUUUCUUCCUGCGUGAAUCCAGUUGAGGGGAAGGUAUAAAAUUUUCAAAUGGAGGAGUAUACCUGAACCUAAUCAUGGAUGUGAUUUUAUGGUCUCGCUUUGUCACCUAGCAGUGUAGUGGUGUAAUCACAGCUCACUGCAGCCUCGACCUCCUGGGCGCAAGGAAUCUUCCAGCCUCAGCCACCCAAGUAGCUGAGACUACAAAUACAGAUAAGCUGAUUCUAAAACUUACAAGAAUGGCAAAGAAACAAGAAGAGCUUAAACUGUGAAGACUGAAGCCUUAGGCUAUGGCAGAAGUUGGGCGCCUGAAGUACACGUGGAAAUAUGCCAACUGAACAUUGGACUACCACGUCAAGGGUCUCCUACCCCUGGGCCAUGGAUCAAUACCAGUCUGUGACCUGUUAGGAACCGGUAGCAGGAGGUGAGUAGCAGCCUAGCGAGCACUACUGCCUAAGCUCCACCUCCUGUCAGAUCAGUAGUGACAUGAGAUUUUCAUAGGAGCAGAAACCCUAUUGUGAACUCCAAACACAAGGGAUCUAGGUUAUGCACUACUUAUGAGAAUCUAAUGCCUGAUGAUCUGAGGUGGAACAGUUUCAUCCUGAAACCACCGCCCCCAUGUGUGGAAAAAUUGUCUUCCACAAAACUGGUCCCUGGUACCAAAAAGGUCAGGGACCACUGCUGUAGGUAAACCUGCACUGGUACAAAAUGACAGAAAUAUACACAGUCAUUUAUUAUAGCAUUGUUAUAUUGUUAUAUUGUUAUUAUAGCAUUGUUGCAUGAAUACAGGAUUGGAAAUAAAUCAAGGAUCUAGUAAUAAGGGACUGGUUGAAUAAACC